AUCCGAACCUUUUGAGGUAAGACUCAUUUGCCUGACGCCUGUUCGUUUUGUGUGUGUCUGUUCUGUAACUUGUCUGUUUAAAUUCUUGCAUCAUGCUGCGCUCUCUUAGGCUAUAAGCUAGGGGGGAGGGCGUAGGUGACUGUCUGUUUUGUGGUGUGUACACGAGGUCUUAGACCCAACGGUUUCCUUGGAACAGCCUCGGUGAAAUUACUGGGACAUCCGUCUGGCAGUUAAACACUUUUAGAGUGCCAGCCCAGAAUAAAAACAAGUUUCGGAUGACAGGAGAUUAUUCAGGCAGGAACAGAGGCUGAAUAGGCUGGGUGAUCUCUCUGGGAUAUAAAGGAAACCACCACUGACUCAAGAACUAAGUGGCCCGAGGACUAGAGGUCUUUUUAUAUACAGCAGUCCUGCCACUCGCUAAAACCAGAGACUGGGUCUGCAUAAGGGUCCAUCAGCAAAGAACUGCCCUGGCCCCAUGCUAUGGGACUCUUGUCCGCUGACCAAUCCAUUAAGCCUUCGGACCUUGCUAAGAAAACAACUUCUCCACCUGAGGCCAUAAUAAAGCCUCCAACCAAGCAAGGUGAUUGUGCUGGUAACCCCUCCCUUGCAGCCUCAUUGCCGGACAGCUAAGUGAAUUAAGACUACGAAAUCUUGAAGAAUAGCUUGCGGAAGCUAGCCAAAACUACCUGAAGAUGAAACUUUUAAUAUUUCUCAGCCUCUCCUCCUUAACGAACUUGGGGUGGGGAGGGAAAAAGUAAUCUUGGCCAAUCAGUAGCCUCCGGUUUGGCCUGUGUCGUAUUGCAGUGUAUUCCGGCUCUAUAUGGUUGCCCAUUGUUGUAGUCCCCGCUCCCCAGCUACUCCCCCUCGUAUCUUCUCCAAUUCCCAUACAAAUCUGUCUGGCCGUAGCCUCAGGAAAAUUCAAGUCUCGGAACAACGAAUGUGGUAUAGCACAUCCUACCGAUGGAAUUGUUGUUUACAGUGGUGAAUUGUGCUAAAUGCUACUAUGAGAACCACCACUUUCUCAUUUCCCUCUCUGCUUUCCAAAUAACUACCUAGUACCCUGAUUGUUCUCAGAGAGCGGCCAUUAAACUGGCCCAGCUUGUGCAGUGGGAAAGUUUUUAUCAAGAAAGAAGAGGUUUGGUGGAAGGAGCUUUGCAUGGCCUAACUGGGGUUGCCGCUAUUUGGACAAUAGAUAAAACCCGGGAUCACAAAAAACGUCUGGGAAAUUUGAAAAGGGCAUCAGGCCUCCUUACUGAGGCAGGGUUAACUAACACCUAUACCAAUAUAAAAGCCCUCCAUGCCUUGUCAGGACUGGGAACCACAAUCCAAACCCUUCUAUCAAAAUUAAUAAACACCCUAGCCUUAGCAGGAAAGGACACUGUCUGGGAUUCAGCUUGUAGUCAAAUGCAGGAUUUCUUUAACGGUCCCUUUUAAAUCAGCGGUGGCCUGAAACCCUUACCACUACUGUGGAAGUGCCACCUGAGCUAUGGAAGUGGAGAAAUACGUGAACAUUGUCAAAAUAAAGCUGUGACUCUGUUGCAUGUACCUUCCAAGCUUCGGAACCGGUAAAUGGCACCUGGGCUCCAGUGCACUUACUUCUGCCAAAACCCUGGGCGAAUUGUCUAUGGGACUGGGUUAUCCACCGGCAGGUAUGGGAAGUUAAACCACCCCAUGAACCUAGCCAUUUCAUCGCCACUCCCUAUGAUUUCGCUGCUCAACAUAUCUGGGUGGGUAUCGGAACCUUGUGGUCAUUAUGGCCCUUGGAACCCCCACAGCUAUUUUGCCUCCGCAAAUUGCAUCCUGGGGAAAUGAUCAAUGUAUUGGACAUGGCCUGUUGGGAAGGAGAAGCAAUUAGAAAGGACCCAGAGGGAAAAUUAUUGUUUAGCAAAAAGGAUGGGUGUGCCCUGCCAUCUCAGCCCCAAUCCCCAUUCCAUACAAUCUUAACGUAACCACUGCACAAGGCAGCCGCUUUAUUACCUGGCCUGGUAUGCCCCAAACCUAUGUGUCUCUCAACCCAGCCAUCCCUCUUACUUUUAAUUGGACUCCUCUCCUCUCUAACCGUUUCUUAAAUUUAACCUCUCUAUUUAACCUCCUCUCCAACCUAUCUCGCUUUCAAGCCCAAAUACAUGUAAUAGAAGUAAAAUAUAACAAAACAGUUAAAGCCUUUCAGGCCGUUUAUAGAUUAGGUGCCUUAUGUUCUUCUCAUGAUAUUGCGUGUUUUGUCUCUAAAGAAUUGGCUCAGCUUGCACCCAGCCUUUCCACUUCUAUAGUUAUAAAGAUUUUGCUUGGUAUUAUUUUAGCUGCUUGUUGUGGAUUGUUAAUUGCCUUUUUGUGCUGCUUAUGUAGAGUUUGUCCUAUAUCCCAGCCUCAGCCACAACCACCCCUCAGGGCCCUGUUCUUUUCCACCGAUGUUAAUAAUCUUUCAGACCCAACUGUUGACCACCUUAGUAUAAACUCGGAGUCUGAGUAUUGCCCAAUGACCUCCAUUCUGAAUAAGGAUAGUGAUGCCUAUGUGGCAUCAGAGGAGGGAGAUUGUGGGGAAAUAGAGCAGGGUGGCCUUCUUUCCGAUAACCAAGAUCCUGGGCCUGAAGACCCUGAAACAUCUCCCCUAGAAAUCUGCCAUACUGAGGACUUUCGUGGGUAAUGGGGUAGGCCUAAAAGCCUGAACCAAACUGCUCAAAUCAGUUUGUGAGGCUAUGCCCAGUCAAAAGCAGCAACAGAGGAGGGAAUAGCACCCCCCCCCCCAGCAGUACUGGUGAAAUAUGUUCAUGGCUAAUGAAAUAUAAUAACCGCUUGUGUGAAGCAAUAGGUAACUUUAGCUAAAUGCAAACUGACUCAUGCAAUUUCUCCUUUGCAUGAUCUGUGACCUACUCCGUGAUUCCAGCUAUCUGCAAACUAGCCCCCCCCCCUUAAGCCUUUGCUGAAAUCCCCCGGAAAAUGACAUAGUCCAAGUCUUAAGAAAUGUACCAAAGCUAGGGCCGAGUACCACUCCUGCGGAAACCACCAAGCGCCCUUCUACCCAAACAAACACCCACUCCUCGGAAAUUAGGUCAGAGGGUAGGGAGGGGGGUGAGAGGACUGACCCCAACCCCAACACCCUAGCUCGUGAUCACCCCAAACCCAGCCUGUGAUUUGCCCCCGAGCUCGUGUUCACCCCAUGCCCAGCUUAUAAUUGGUCCCCAAUUUCUUAACUCAUGACGUAUUGUUUGUACCCUGCUUGUGGUUUAAUGGAAUAAAAGCAGCAUGUGAGCUGUUGCUAGGUGUGUUGGUCUCCGGACUACACCCCAGUGCGCACUGGUUUGUAUGUCAAUAAACUGGCCUCAGGCUCUGAGUCUG